AAUAAAACUUGUUAGGUGAGGCUCCUAUACAAACACAAGCUAUUGUUCAGAAACGUCGAAAGACGCCAACGGAUGAAACAGAGAUUGUCGAAUUAAGGCUUUUUCAAAAUAGCUAAGGUUAUCCUUUACGUUGUAUAGUGCUAAAACUCGGACGAAGAGAUACGAU
rnacentral:sRNA from 2 species